rnacentral:rRNA from 1 species
UUAAAAUAUAAUUAUUAAGUAAGGUAAGAUAAAUUAUAAUAGUAAUAAAAAUAAUUUUAUAGAAAUUAGUUUAUGUAUUUUAUAAAAAAAAAAUAAUUUUAAUAAUAGUAAAUAUAGUAUAGUAAUAGAAAUUUGAAAUAUUAAUUUAUUAAUUUAAAAGUAAAUUUUAUUUAUUGUACCUUUUGUAUCAGGGUUUAUUUAAAAAAAAAUAUGUAUAUUAUUUAUCUCGAAUUUAAGAGAUUUAAAAAUUUAUGAAAGUUAAUGUUGUAAAAUUAUUUUAAAUUUUUUUUUAGAAAUGAAAAGUUAAUCGUUCUUAAAUAUAUCUAGUUUUUAAAGAAAUGAAUUUAAUUCAGGUGUAAUAAAUUAUUAAAUUAUUUCAAAAAUUUAAUAUAAAUUUAUACUAAUAUUUUAAGGGAUUAGCUUUAAAGUAUAUUUAUAAAAUAAAAAUAAAAUUUUAAAAAAUGUAGAAUUAGAAAUUUUCAUCAUUAAUUAAAAUGUUAUUAUUAAUUUAAUAACUUAAAAAAUUUAUUUUAUUUUUAAUUAUUUUAUUUAAAUAAAAUUAUAAAUUAUUAAUAAUUUGUAAUAAUGAUAAAAUUAGUAUUAAUUAUUUAUAUAAAUAAUAUAUUAUUAUAAAGAUUAAAAUAAGGAAUUCAGCAAAAAUUAUACUCACCUGUUUAACAAAAACAUGUCUUUUUGAAAAAAAUAUAAAGUCUAACCUGCCCACUGAUUUAUUAAAGGGCCGCGGUAUAUUGACUGUGCAAAGGUAGCAUAAUCAUUUGUCUUUUAAUUGAAGGCUAGAAUGAAUGGUUGAAUGAAGUAUAUACUGUCUCAUUUUAAUAAAAAUAAAAAUUUAGUUUUUAAGUGAAAAAGCUUAAAUAAAGUUGGAGGACGAGAAGACCCUAUAGAUCUUUAUAUUUAUUUUUAUUUAUAAAAUUUAUAAGAUUAAUAUUUUAAAUAAUGAUAAAUAUUUAGUUGGGGUGACUGGAAAAUUUAAUAAACUAUUUUUAUUUUAUACCAUUAAUUUAUGAAUUAUUGAUCCAAUUUUAUUGAUUAAAAAUUUAAGUUACCUUAGGGAUAACAGCGUAAUUAUUUUUAAGAGUUCUUAUCGAUAAAAUAGAUUGCGACCUCGAUGUUGAAUUAAAGAUUAUAUUUAGAUGCAGAAGUUUAAAUGUUAGGUCUGUUCGACCUUUAAAUCUUUACAUGAUUUGAGUUCAGACCGGUGUAAGCCAGGUCGGUUUCUAUCCUUAAUAAAAUAAUAUAUUUUAGUACGAAAGGACCAAAUAUAUAAAAUAUAGUUUUUUAAAAUAUGAAUAAUAAUAAAUUUAA